UUGACCUCAAAUCAGGUAGGACUACCCGCUGAACUUAAGCAUAUCAAUAAGCGGAGGAAAAGAAACUAACAAGGAUUCCCCUAGUAACUGCGAGUGAAGCGGGAAAAGCUCAAAUUUGAAAUCUGGUAGUCUUUGGCUGCCCGAGUUGUAAUCUAGAGAAGCAUUAUCUGCGCUGGACUGUGUAUAAGUGUCCUGGAAUAGACCAUCAUAGAGGGUGACAAUCCCGUCUUUGACACAGACUCCCAGUGCUUUGUGAUGUGCUCUCAAAGAGUCGAGUUGUUUGGGAAUGCAGCUCUAAAUGGGUGGUAAGUUCCAUCUAAAGCUAAAUAUUGGCGAGAGACCGAUAGCGAACAAGUACCGUGAGGGAAAGAUGAAAAGAACUUUGUAAAGAGAGUUAAACAGUACGUGAAAUUGCUGAAAGGGAAACGCUUGAAGUCAGUCGCGUUGGCUGGGGAUCAACCAUUGCUUUUGCUUGGCUUACUUCCCAGUUGACGGGUCAGCAUCAGUUUUGACCAGUGGAUAAAGGCUAGGGGAAUGUGGCACCUCCGGGUGUGUUAUAGCCCUUGGUCAUAUACAUUGAUUGGGACUGAGGAACUCAGCACUUUAAGUGCUUA
rnacentral:rRNA from 1 species